UAUAAUCAUUUUUUCAAACUU
rnacentral:piRNA from 1 species